AUGAAGAAGAUAAAAGCGAGAAACUGCCUUUUUACAGCAGGUCAGCAAACUUCGCAGGGAAAUGAGAACCUCCGUCCUCAGGGUACCCCGGCUGCCCAAGGGACCGCGCACCUGUCGGCGGCCCCGCCCCGCGCCCCCCGCGCCCCGCCCCGCAGGCGGCCGGGGCACACGCACCUGGGGCACCUGGGCGCCGUGGCACCGCGGACGGAGGCGCAGGGCCAAGGUCUCCCGGCCGAACGAGAGGCCCAAGAAGGUUCCACCUGUAACUCGCGGGACGCCCGAGCGCCUCCAGCGCCUUCAGCUCGAGGCCCCGCCCGACGGUGCGCCCUGCCCCGGGCCGUGCCCCCGUCCCAGCAGCUCCGCGCACCCCGAGGAGGAGGUUCCAAGGGCGGAAAAGGGGGUCGCAGGAGGCGAGGUGGGCGCCCCGGGCCUCGGGCUCCCCCCGCGCUGCACCCGCCGACGCCCAGGGGCCCCGGGGCCGGGACGCUGAGGCCUCAGGCCCCUGGAUCGCGCCCGCGGCGAGCGCCCCUUCGCUCCGCUCCCCGCCCCGCGCCCGCCGCUCGGCCCGCGACGCCGGGAGGGGAUGCCCUGCGCGCACCUGCCCGGGUGCAGCCCCGGCUCCUUAGCCGCAGGAGCCCUCCCCACCCAGCUGCUCACCUUGCACGCUGCCACUGCCGGGGACAGCGGCCGCCAGCAGGACGGCCACCCCCAGCAGCCGCGCGGCGCGCACGCUUCGCAUCCUCCUGCUGCCCGCCGCCGGCCGGGCCCGGGGUCGCCGCCGCUCCGCCCGCCUCGCCGGUCUCACCCGCCGCAGUCCCAGCCUGCGCGCCGCUCCCCGAGACCAGAAGUUUCAGUGAAACCCGAGCCUCCCGGCGCACCUGCGCUCGGCCCCGCCCCGGCCCCGGCCCCGCCCCCUGCCGGGGGGCUCCGGGCGCUCCCGCCCACGCGCCGCAGGCGCAGGGCCGCGGGGGGAGGGGGAGCCCGCAGGGCGAGGGGGAGCCCCCAGGGGGAGGAGGAGCCCCCAGGGAGAGGAGGAGCCCCCAGGGAGACGGGGAGCCCGCAGGGGGAAGGGGGAGCGGAGGGGAGGGGGAGCGGGGGGGGGAGCCCGCACGGGGAGGAGGAGCCCCCAGAGGGAGGGGGAGCCCCCAGGGGGAGGGAGGGAGUGGGGGGGAGCCCGCAGGGGGAGGGGGGAGGGGGAGUGGGGGGAGCCCCCAGGGGGAGGGGGGGAGGGGGAGUGGGGGGGAGCCCGCAGGGGGAGGGGGAGCCCCCAGGGGGAGGAGGAGCCGCGGGAUGGGGGAGCCCCGUGGGGGAGCCGGGGAGUGGGGGUUGCAGCUGAAGUAG
rnacentral:lncRNA from 1 species